UAAGCAAAGCGAAGUGAUGAAUAGAGUAUAGCUAGAGAUGGUCUAGAGAUUAUGAGAUGCAUAGAUGGUGAAAGUGGAAAGAUGAGAAUGAGCUGUGAGAUGGGAGUCAGAUUUAAGGCAAGUAUCCUAUACCCUUCUUUUGGAUAUCUUGCGAUUAUUCUGAUCCAUUAUUCUCGUAUGUGUUGCAAAUAUUCGUUCCUCUCUUUUUCAUAUUUGGCAAGUGCAAAUAUUUUUAUCCAUCCUUUUCUAAUCCUCAAAAAUUCAGAUAAUUCCAGUUUUACAAAUUAAUUCGAAGUUCAGAUUGUCAUUGAAGCAUGUGUUGCUCAGUGAUGAUUAGAACCUAGAAUGACUUGGGAUCUUCUUGAUUAUUCAACCCGCCAUUGUCAUGCUGGUUUAGCAGGCUAAAUUCAGUUGCUUAGCCGAUAAUGGAGGAUACUGAAUAGUUAAGGAUUUCCUGAACUAUGAUUUAUGGAAGGAUGGACUCUGGUUUAUGAAAAGUUGAUUAUCAAAGUUUGAUUUGGAAUUAUUCUAUCAUGGAUAUUGAUUGUGUUUAUGUUCUGUUGUUAUACGUUGACCUGUUAUUGAAUUAUAGAAUUGGAUUAUUGUUUUUAUAUAAACCUGUGGACCAGAUUCGUGGUCAUGUUAGGCCAAUGAGUGCCUUGGAUCCAGUGAUAGAGCAUGGCGGGGCCUGCUCGGGGUUAGUGCGGAACUGAUCAGCUGCCUAACCUUGGUUUUAAUUAAAAUGUAAUAGUCCAAUUCAAUAAUUCUUUGGAAAGAUUGAAUUUCUCAGUUUAAAUGAUGCAAGGUAUUGUAAAUCAUUCUAUACAAUACCAUGAACUCAUGAACUCAGGUUGAAUUCUCUUAUAUCUUGAACUCGUGAACUUCUGUUAUAUCAUUUCAGAACUAUCAUUGUUUAUUAUUACUUGCUGAGCAUUGUUGCUCACCCUUGCUAUUCCUUUCUAACCAUUUCAGAAAGGCUGAAAGAUAAGAUGAUUGAUUGAGAUUGUGGAUAAGGCUAAUGCUAGGCGAGGAGACAGAGUUGAGGAUCCAGUGGUCGAGGAGUAUUCAGGAAAGUUGAUAAGGUUGGUGCUAGCUAGAGUUAUGCUAUGAAGUUUCAGAUGUAAGUCAUGGCUGGAGUAAGUUGACAGUGAUUCUUCUUAUCGAAGAUGAUCUGAUUUGGUAAGGGAUGUUGUGUAGUAUUAGUGGUGGAUUCUAAUUUCAAUACUGUAACCUGGAAGCGAUCCUGUUGUUUUUGGGGGUUAAAAUGUUCUCUUUCGAAUCAGCUAUUAAAGUUUAAAUGUUCUCUGAAAAGUUCUUUUAUGAUGGUUUUCAAAUUUAAAAUUCAG
rnacentral:lncRNA from 1 species